GGAUGUGAGGGGGAUCUGGCUGGGACAUCUGUUGCCCUGUUGAUUGCCAGGGUUGAUUUGGCCUAUCAGGCUGACUAGGCGAGUGUCCCCACCCUCCCUCAGGGCUCUCUGUGUGUCUCUCCCCAAGCCGUGUGCUGGAUGGAAGAGGACGACCUACCCUGCUCAAGGAGAACCAUCCUUCCAUCAAGGGCAUAGGAUGAGCUGGGUUCCCUCGUUAGAAUCUCCAAACAAGCUCUCAAGGUCUAUUAUUAGAAGCUUUAAAAAAAGAGAAAGAGAGAGAAUUAAAUGAAAACCAGGAUUCUCAGUAUGGGAAAAGAUUGCU
rnacentral:snRNA from 1 species